rnacentral:rRNA from 1 species
AUUGAACGCUAGCGGGAUGCCUUACACAUGCAAGUCGAACGGAGUGGCGAACGGGUGAGUAAUGUAUCGGAACGUGCCCAGUAGCGGGGGAUAACUAAGCGAAAGCGUAGCUAAUACCGCAUACUUUUGGAGCGGCCGAUAUCGGGUUAGCUAGGUGGUGGGGGAACGGCUCCCCAAGGCGACGGUCGGUAGCGGGUUUGAGAGGACGACCAGCCAAACUGGGACUGGGAAACGGCCCAGAUUCCUACGGGAGGCAGAAGGGGGGAAUUUUGGACAAGGGGGGAAACCCGGAUCCAGCCAUCCCGCGUGGGGAAUGAAGGCCUUCGGGUUGUAAAGCACGUUUGGCAGGAAAGCGGUACCUGAAGAAUAAGCAACGGCUAACUACGUGCCAGCAGCCGCGGUAAUUC